UUAUAGAAAACUUAUAAAUGUUUGAGGCAUUUGGCUCUACGUUUGUGCUGCUGUGUGCUAUUAGCGUUGCACGAUACUGGAACCAACAGAAGUCGCCCAUGGUGUUCGGGUUUUGUCGCCUUCGUUAUAACGCAUCCCCAUGAGUGAAAUCUCUUGGCGUAAUCGCUUGUCGUGCUCGUCCGUGGCAGUUCCCAAGUUGUCAGGGAAGAAGUUCGGGUGCUCGUGUUGGAAUUAUAUUUUCAGGGAUAUACUGGAGUCAAAUGUUCUGAAUGACUCUUGCAUCGGUUGUACUGUUCCUUCAAUGUCUGCGUAUCGUCCCCUAUAGGAACUUGUCUGUCGCAGCUUUGAAGCUCCUCCUCGCUGCCAACUCUCUGGGGCUUAGAGUUUUUAAAAAAGUCUCACUAUUCAGUAAGUGUCGGAUUUGUGGUUCAAAAAUGACACCAGCCUCCAUUUUUCCCUUUUACAAGGUGUUGCCAAACUUCUCCUUCAGGUAUAAUAGCCCAAGUCCAUUGAGAUCCAUUAUCCGGACGAAAUUGUUAUCAAACCGAGCUUUAUGUGGAGGGAUGGAAGGAAAAUCUAGCUGGGUCGACAGAGGCGAAAUGCUUCAUGUUGUGUCCACCAGGACUCAUGACUUCUGUUAUGGACAUAAUGGACACUUAUGGCAGUGUCCAUUAUGACUUCUAAAUUAUGUAAGUAUUUCUGUAAUUGAAAAUCCUUGCAUAAUUAAGCGAAACGAUUUUGAUUUUUUGUAUCACAAGACCCGAAUUACUUAACUACCGGUACUUUACAUAUCUCCAGUAAAAAAAUGUUUUUAGAGUAUGUUGUUCAGUGAUUUUAUGAGAGUAUUCCGUAACUAAAAAGCAUGACGUAAUUCAGCCAAAUGGUUAAAAAUAAUCUGUGGAUUCGAAUUAGUCUAAUUAUUUAACACAUCUCCAGUAAAACAAUUUGUUGAAAUAUAUUUUUCAGUGUAAUUCAUGGCGGAAGGAGGUGAGCUGAAUGCGUACUUGUAGGUCAUGGCGGGUUACCCUCUGAACUUGAUAAUGGGCGUGUCUGAGAUGUCGGAAGGCAACCUCGCAUUGGCUCCCAGUUCAAGCUCGCACUUGAAAAAAGAGCAAGAACCUUGUAGUGCGGACGCAUUAGUGGUUGCUCCUGAAACAGCAUCUGUGCGAGCGGGCGUCAAGUGCCAGUUGUUUCUUCCUCGAACUGCUAUCAUGAAUAAAUUGAUUGAGCUUGUUGCAAAGCAAGGAAUUCAUCCGACGGCACGCGUACGUAAGACCCCCGAGGAGGAAGAGCUCUAAGGCUAUAUAUAUUGGUAGGGUUAGGUGUGUACCGAGAGUAGAGCUUGGCUGAGUCGCCUGCUCCACACAUCGUAGUGUGGCUCUGAGGUGCUAGCAUCCUGCCACUGGGCGUCAGACGCUUGCGUGCGUCCUAGGCUGCUGUACUGCACAUUGCAUUAAUACUUCACUUAGCUUACGUGUGUACUGCAUUGCAUUAUUACUUCACGUAGCUUACGUGUAUUUAGUUGGAAAACUUAUCUGUAUGGAUUUGUUUAAAUAGAUUGCAUUAUUACUUCACUUAGCUUACGUGUAUUUAGUUAGAAAACUUAUCUGUAUGGAUUUGUUUAAAUAGAUUGCAUUAUUACUUCACUUAGCUUACGUGUAUUUAGUUGGAAAACUUAUCUGUAUGGAUUUAUUUAAAUAGAUUGCAUUAUUACUUCACUUAGCUUACGUGUAUUUAGUUGGAAAACUUAUCUGUAUGGAUUUAUUUAAAUAGAUUGCAUUAUUACCGUACUUCACUUCGCGUGUAUUUAGUUAGAAAUUUGGGUAGUAUCUGUAUGGAUUUAUUCAAGUAAUUUCAGUGUUGAGAUUCGUUCAUUUCGUUGUUUUUUAUUUAGAUUUUUUUCAGUGAGCAUGACUUCUUUUUGUAGUGAAGCACUUGAUUUUCUUCCAUGAAAAUGGAAAAUAUUUUUUGUUUCAACUCGAAUUCUUCAUAUAUCGAAUAUUAAUUCGUCAUAUAUCGGUAUGAUUCUGAAGAGCUAAGCUCAAUGAGAAUUUAAUAAUUUACAGUCUAAAAUACCUAGCCGCAUCAGAACAGUUCAGUCUAAUGAACUCUUGCCUAUUAUGAACUUUCUUUGUAAUAAGUCUGUAAUAAUUGUUAGAAAAUAAUAUCACUGUUUCUCAUCAACAUCGGGCUAGUACUUUUUUGGUAGGGAUGGGGGGAGGCAAAUAAGUUGUUAACAGUUCUUACUGUGGUAAUGAAUUAUUGGGGCAUUAGUCAUAUUAGCCUGUGCAUUUUUUAGUAUUUGAUUCCUUAAGUGUAGGAUGUCUUAGUAAAUGUGUACCUACAUUGAAUACUAAUCGUAGUUACCUCAUCAUCAUGUGAUACACGUUUUAGUGCAUCCUACUUCCUGUGGAACAGUUCAUUAUCAACAGUACGAGACUGUUGAUGGCCUUAGCGCUGUAGGUUGUUGGUUGAGCAAGACACGUCCGGUAGUAAUUGUGUCAUCAUCACUGUCCGCGAUCAAAUUCCAUCAAUGCACUAGAUUUUUUGCGCAGAUUACCAAUUGCUUUCUAAAGCAAUAAUUAUCAUAAAUUGAGUUACUCAAUCGGUGACAUCUCCGACAUAAUGGGUGAAGAUCACAGCCGACACUGCAACUGUGACCGCUGCAAGCAGCAGGGCGCUAAAAAGUGAACAUGAGGUGCUUAACUACAAGAAGCCCUGUGCCCUGGCGCAUCUCGAGUACCCUGCCUUCAAUACAAGCUGGAGAGAAAGAGUGGCCAGGGCCAGAGCAAGGAUGGCUGAGCAUCACCUGGAAUAUUGGAAGAUUAUGAUUAUUUUAAAUUAUCAAGAAUCUUCACUGUAAGGAGGGCGCCGAACAUCUAAGCGCCACAUUUUUGGCGCUUCCCUGAAUUUUACCCUUAAUUUCUGUGUAUGAGGAACGAUUAAAAUUUCUGUAAUGAGGGCUUCUCAACGAGGUUUGAAUAUAAUCUGCUUGAUGUCCAGACGUGAGCGGCUUUCUUAUCAGUGAGGAGUCCGACUCUAAAAAAUCUUGUCUGGUUCAGCGAUGAUAAUCCUGUUAUAUUUGGCUAAUGGACGAAAAAAUUUCAUUGUAAUUUUCAUAUAACUGCUGCACAAGAUUGAAAGGAUAAAGAGCCGAUUAAUAUUUUCUAUUUAUAAUUACCUAACGUUACAUAAGAAACUAAAUAAGUUCUUACCUAUCUUUUUUUAAAUCUAUUUAAUUAACAGGAAAAUAUUCGCGACGGUUAUUUUAUUGAUGUCAAAUUCUCUAAACACUACGACCCGUUAAAAUUUGUUUGAUUGUUGAUUGUCUUAUUGUAUUGGAAAAUCAAAUAAAAUAUGUCACUUCUACUCAGCAUUGUAACACAUGAGUGCAAUCAAUUUUUGGUUUCUGGUUUCAUAUGUAAGCUUUAGAUUAUUAUUCGUGUCCACAUAGUUCUAUCAAUGCGUUAUUAAGAUAAAAAUAAAUCGUGUCAAUGAUUAGUUCAUGGCCGGCAUUUCCGCUCAAAGGCUGCGUUGUUUCUAAACCUUGGCACUCAAUUCACUGCUGUGGACGUCCUGCGUGUGACGUUUAAGUUCCUCAAAAGGCCUGAAUCAUGACCAGAAUUACGUCUGUGCAUAAAAUAUAGAAACUGUUUCAGUUUGCCCAGUAGGACUUGAAUUUUUUUUUUACAAAUAACGCCCUCCCACCACCUGUGAACGUUACUGUUGUGUGGCAAUUUUGCUUCUUGUGUUCAGUUUUGAUCUCUUUGUGCAAGCGUGUAUUGUACCGUCUAUGUAUUAUUUCAUAUUUAACUGGAAAUAUAUGGAUGUUCAUGUUGUGCAUCUUGUCGUAAGUGUUGUACGUUUUAUCUUGUGAAUUGUAACGCUAGUCAUGAAUGGAAGAAAGUCGAUGUGUUCGUUGGCUUCAUUAAUUCUUCGUGACGUACCGAAAAAAUGUUCUGCUAAUUUUUGUUUCGCUUACUGUGAUGACUUUCUUAUUUUAAAGUUGUAACGUGUUAUUUUAUGUAACCUCUCAUUAAAACUUAUGGUAGAGCCGGCAUUCAGAAACAUUUCUUGUGCUAGUUGUUUCAAUACAUCAUUUCCACCAUA